rnacentral:tRNA from 1 species
GGAAUGGCUCAGUGGUAGAGCGUUACCUUGCCAAGGUAAACGUCGCGAGUUCGCAUAUCUUUGCGAAGCAAAGUAUCUUGCCGAGGGUGCCCUUUUAAGGGUUUCGGCAAAAUCUCGUUUUCUCCA